UUCAGUCAUACGGAAGCAAUACGACCGACCGGCAAACUAACGCUUAACUAGUGCUCAGCUAUUUUUUUAGUUAAAACGACGACUCUUGCAGUGAUAAUUGAAAGUGUUACCAAUUAAAAUAGCCGAAGAAGAAGAAGACGAAGAAACAGAAAAAAGGAAUAAAAGUUUAAAAGCUGAAAAAAAAUCUAGGAAAAGAAGAUUAAAAUAAAAUAAAAAUUACAACAACAGCAAAAUCAAAUAACCUGUUUUUAGUGCCUAUUAACGUUUUCUUAAAACAAAACAAAAAAAUUAAAAAAAAAAAAUCUAAAAAGUUUUAAUUUCAUUUUGCAAUUCUAUAUCAUUUGAAAGGCUUUUUUGAAGUGACAAAAACAACAUUAAAAAAACAACUUAAAACAAAUAAGUAUCAACAUUAAUAAGCCCAGUUAUUUACUGUUUUAAAGUGUCUUUCGUAAAAAAAAUCAAUUUACUCCUAAGGAAAACAAAGUCUGCUGCCAACAUUUUAUUUUUUCCAUUCCUAAAUUGAAAUCCAAAAAAAAAAAGCAUUUAUUUGUUUAACAUUAUCAUAGCGUAAUUAGUGUUUUUUUGUUAAAAUAAUUUUGAAUGAACAAUAUGUCACCUACCAAGGACAAUAUGAAUCAUCUUAAUAAUCAUACCACUCUAUCGAGGCGUUCACGUGAUGAAUUUUCGGAAACGGUAAGU